GCCAGAAGCGAUAGAACGUUGUAUGUACCAGUGUUCAAUGUAUCACUGUAGUUAAGCAACGUUGCGCGUUAUUGAUAUCCGGAUGGGUGACCAUCUGGUUAACCGUGAGCUAGUAGCU
rnacentral:rRNA from 1 species